GAUUCUCCAUUUUGCCUUUGGUUUUCUGCAUUGGAUGUCUUUGGUUGGCACUCCAGUGUCAGGUGACUGCAGCAGCCAAUCAGUAGCCUCAUCGUGACGCUCUGUACUCCUGAGUACAUAGCAGUACUGGAAGGCAGCUUAUUGGCUGUUGCAGUCACCUGACGUCCACUGCUUCUGUAAUACCAGAGAGCCGACCACAGACAGAACAGGGGAUCAGUGCAGGAACGGAUGUGGAGAUAAAAGAUGACAAGUCAACUACUGGAUUCUUUCCCGAGUCUUGAAGAAAAGCUCAUAUCCAUAAGAUCCACGAGCAUCAAUCAGAAAAAACAUGUGGGACCACUAAAAGAAGGAAUAUGGAUGGAUGCAUAUUAUUUAUAUAUAAAUAUAUAUCUCAAGUGUGCAAAGAUUCUUUUUGGUUGGUGGCCAGUAUUGAUCACAGCAUCUGAGGGCAUUCUGUAACAUAACAGAAAGUGAAAAUCACCACAAAAGUGUUUAUCUCUUGGUUUGCUACCACGCAGGAGAGCAUAGGGAUCACAAGUAGGGCAUCCCUGGUAUAGAUGGUAAAGGCAAUCAGCACGAUAAGCAAUGCCUGGUCGAAGAGGAACGCAUAUCUGCAAAGCAUAUAGAAUACAUCAUGCAUAGUAAGACACAAGCAUAAGACAACAUGGCCUGGUUAAAGAAACAUUAGCUACAUAUGCAAUAGGGUUAGAAAACCAGAUUUAUCCUUCCAGAUCAUCUGUCCAGAUUGUGGAUUUCUUUAUACUUGUCUGUACCUGCACUUCGCACUUUUUAAAAUGUUUGCUUCACCAUCUCAACAAGUCAUUAUUUACAAAUAUAAUUUUUAUGAUUUUAUUUAAAUAAACCAAGUAACUUUGGUGUCUAAUAUAU